rnacentral:rRNA from 1 species
GUGAAAUGCUUAGAUAUCACGAAGAACCCCGAUUGCGAAGGCAGCCUGCCAGGCCUGGACUGACGUUGAGGCUCGAAGGUGCGGGUAUCGAACAGGAUUAGAUACCCUGGUAGUCCGCACGGUAAACGAUGGAUACUCGCUGUCGGCGAUACACGGUCGGCGGCCAAGCGAAAGCGUUAAGUAUCCCACCUGGGGAGUACGCCGGCAACGGUGAAACUCAAAGGAAUUGACGGGGGCCCGCACAAGCGGAGGAACAUGUGGUUUAAUUCGAUGAUACGCGAGGAACCUUACCCGGGCUUGAACUGCAACCGAAUGUCGCGGAAACGUGACAGCUAGCAAUAGCGGUUGUGGAGGUGCUGCAUGGUUGUCGUCAGCUCGUGCCGUGAGGUGUCGGCUUAAGUGCCAUAACGAGCGCAACCCUUAUCUUCAGUUGCUAACAGGUCAUGCUGAGGACUCUGGAGAGACUGCCGUCGUAAGAUGUGAGGAAGGUGGGGAUGACGUCAAAUCAGCACGGCCCUUACGUCCGGGGCUACACACGUGUUACAAUGGGGGGUACAGAAGGCAGCUAGCGGGUGACCGUAUGCUAAUCCCAAAAUCCUCUCUCAGUUCGGAUCGAAGUCUGCAACCCGACUUCGUGAAGCUGGAUUCGCUAGUAAUCGCGCAUCAGCCACGGCGCGGUGAAUACGUUCCCGGGCCUUGUACACACCGCCCGUCAAGCCAUGGGAGCCGGGGNUACCUGAAGUACGUAACCGCAAGGAUCGUCCUAGGGUAAAACUGGUGACUGGGGCUAAGUCGUAACAAGGUAAA